ACAUUUCAAAUGUUUUUCCCUCAUAUAAUACCGGUAAUAUGGACCGGAAGUCUCUACCGAAAACCGUAAAUUUUCGACUAUGAGUGGAUCGCUGUGUAUA
rnacentral:ncRNA from 2 species